ensembl:snRNA U6 U6 spliceosomal RNA
GUACUCACUUCAUUAGCAGAUAUGCUAAAAUGGAAUAAUACAGAGAAAAUUAGCAUUGUCCCUGCACAAGGAUGUCAUGCAAGUUCACAAAGCCAUUCUUUUUCUUU